CAUCCAAGCAAGAGCAUUCAAAAUGGUUCCCAUGGAGUACCAUGGAUGUGAGGGGUGCUAAUACAUUCCCCUUGCAUAAUCGACUUCCUUACACGUUUCUCUAUUUUCCCUUGGGUUUUAUCGAUGUUUCCCUUCCCCCUCUUUUGGGAUAAGUAAAGUUUGAUGGAGACUCUGUUAUACAUUCGAGCAUGCGAUGCAUUUGGUGGGCAUAUUUCAGCUAGCUUCAGGUAUGGCCAUGCGAAUACAUCCACAUAUUCUUGUAACAA
rnacentral:lncRNA from 1 species